AGUAAAGUGGCUGAAUAAUAGGCAAUAAAUUGUAAAUUUAUCUAUGAGAGUAAUCUUUUUUACUA
rnacentral:tRNA from 1 species